GGACUAGGGCCAUCUGGCUGCAACAGAUGUCACCCCAUUGAUCGCCAAAAUUGAUUGGCUGAUCUGGCUGGCUAGGCAGGUGUCCCCUUCCUCCCUCACCACUCCAUGUGCGCCCCCUUGGAAUCUGCAUGCUCCGUGGAGGAGGACAGCCUUCUGAAUAGAGACAGACUCGUGUUUGGUCUAGGGUCUACGAGUAGUAGCUGUGCUCCUCUGCUAGAACCUCCACACAACCUCUCAAGGUCCAUUUGUAGGAGAACAUAGGGUAGUCAAGCUUCCAAGACUCCAGACACAUCCAAAUGAGGCACUGCAUGUGGCAGUCUGCAUUUCUUA
rnacentral:snRNA from 1 species